rnacentral:rRNA from 1 species
CUACGGGUGGCAGCAGUGAGGAAUAUUGGUCAAUGGGCGCGAGCCUGAACCAGCCAUCCCGCGUGCAGGAUGACGGCCCUAUGGGUUGUAAACUGCUUUUCUAUGCCAAGAAACCCUGUUACGAGUAACAGGUUGCCGGUAGCAUAGGAAUAAGCAUCGGCUAACUCCGUGCCAGCAGCCGCGGUAAUACGGAGGAUGCAAGCGUUAUCCGGUUCAUUGGGUUUAAAGGGUGCGCAGGUGGGCUUGUAAGUCAGUGGUGAAAUGCUGCCGCUUAACGGUAGAACUGCCAUUGAUACUGCGAGUCUUGAGUAUGGUUGAGGUAGGCGGAAUGUGUUGUGUAGCGGUGAAAUGCAUAGAUAUGACACAGAACGCCAAUUGCGAAGGCAGCUUACUAAGCCAUUACUGACGCUGAGGCACGGAAGCGUGGGGAGCGAACAGGAUUAGAUACCCUCGUAGUC